rnacentral:rRNA from 1 species
AGAGUUUGAUCCUGGCUCAGAACGAACGCUGGCGGCAGGCCUAACACAUGCAAGUCGAACGCCCGUAGCAAUACGGGAGUGGCAGACGGGUGAGUAACACGUGGGAACGUACCCUAAGGUACGGAACAACUCCGGGAAACUGGAGCUAAUACCGUAUGUGCCCGAAAGGGGAAAGAUUUAUCGCCUUGGGAUCGGCCCGCGUCUGAUUAGCUAGUUGGUGGGGUAAUGGCCCACCAAGGCGACGAUCAGUAGCUGGUCUGAGAGGAUGAUCAGCCACACUGGGACUGAGACACGGCCCAGACUCCUACGGGAGGCAGCAGUGGGGAAUAUUGGACAAUGGGCGCAAGCCUGAUCCAGCCAUGCCGCGUGAGUGAUGAAGGCCUUAGGGUUGUAAAGCUCUUUCGGCGGGGACGAUAAUGACGGUACCCGCAGAAGAAGCCCCGGCUAACUUCGUGCCAGUAGCCGCGGUAAUACGAAGGGGGCUAGCGUUGUUCGGAAUCACUGGGCGUAAAGCGCAUGCAGGCGGAUCGUUAAGUCGGGGGUGAAAUCCCGAGGCUCAACCUCGGAACUGCCUUCGAUACUGGCGAUCUGGAGUCCGGGAGAGGUGAGUGGAACUGCGAGUGUAGAGGUGAAAUUCGUAGAUAUUCGCAAGAACACCAGUGGCGAAAGCGGCUCACUGGCCCGGUACUGACGCUGAGAUGCGAAAGCGUGGGAGCAAACAGGAUUAGAUACCCUGGUAGUCC